UACGGGGGGGGCAAGCGUUGUUCGGAAUUACUGGGCGUAAAGGGCUCGUAGGCGGCCAACUAAGUCAGACGUGAAAUCCCCAGGCUCAACCUGGGAACUGCGUCUGAUACUGGUUGGCUUGAAUCCGGGAGAGGGAUGCAGAAUUCCAGGUGUAGCGGUGAAAUGCGUAGAUAUCGGAAGGAACAUCAGUGGCGAAGGCGACUUUCUGGACAGAUACUGACACUGAGGCACGAAAGCAUGGGGAGCAAACAGG
rnacentral:rRNA from 1 species